rnacentral:rRNA from 1 species
UACGGAGGGUGCGAGCGUUGUCCGGAAUCACUGGGCGUAAAGGGCGCGUAGGCGGCCUGGUAAGUAGGGGGUGAAAUCCUGCGGCUUAACCGCAGGGCUGCCUUCUAAACUGUCAGGCUCGAAUCCGGGAGAGGGAUGCGGAAUUCCAGGUGUAGCGGUGAAAUGCGUAGAUAUCUGGAGGAACACCGGUGGCGAAGGCGGCAUCCUGGACCGGUAUUGACACUGAGGCGCGAAAGCCAGGGGAGCAAACGGG